AUGCGGGGCUCGAUCCCAGGACCCUCAGAUCAUGACCUGAGCCAAAGGCAGAGGUCUUAACCCACUGAGUCACCCAGGCACCCCAAGGGUUUUUGCCUGUUCUAUGAACGGAAUCAUACCAGAUGCACCCUUUUGGGCCUGUCUUCUUUCACCAAGCAAAAUGCAUUUAGUUCAUCCAUGCUAUUGUGUAAAGCAGUGGUUUCUUCCUGGCUGUCCGGGCCUAACACUCUGCUGUGUGCCUGUAGGACAGCUUGUCACUCACCACGAGGGGCAUCUGGCUGUUUCCAGUUAGGCUGGGUCAUGUAAGCAUUGUCAGUGAUGACUACGUUUGGGAGAUGAUUAUUCUUCUGUGAAUAAUCACGACUUCAAAAUCUGUAUGGCCA